AGGGCACCACCAGGAGUGGAGCCUGCGGCUUAAUUUGACUCAACACGGGAAAACUCACCCGGCCCGGACACCGUAAGGAUUGACAGACUGAGAGCUCUUUCUUAAUUCGGUGGGUGGUGGUGCAUGGCCGUUCUUAGUUGGUGGGGCGAUUUGUCUGGUUAAUUCCGAUAACGAACGAGACUCUGGCCUAUUAAAUAGACGAUAUAUUAAAAAGUAUAUCGCGCUUCUUAAAGGGGCAAGCGGCGUCUAGCCGCAUGAAAUAAAGCAAUAACAGGUCUGUGAUGCCCUUAGAUGUCCGGGGCUGCACGCGCGCUACACUGAAAGAAUCAGUGGGCGUUUUACCUAGUUCGGAAGGACUGGGUAACCCAAGUAAAUUCUUUCGUGCUUGGGAUAGGGAAUUGCAAUUAUUUCCCUUAAACGAGGAAUUCCCAGUAAAUUCGGGUCAUAAGCUCGAGUUGAUUACGUCCCUGCCCUUUGUACACACCGCCCGUCGCUACUACCGAUUGGAUGACUUAGUGA
rnacentral:rRNA from 1 species